UUUCCGUAGGUGAACCUGCGGAAGGAUCAUUAUUGAAAAAGACAAGACGCCCCGUUUUUUCGUAAAAUGCGUUCAAUACCCACAACCGUGUAUACCUUACCUUUUGUUGCUUUGGCAGGCCGCCUCCGGGCGUUGGCUUCGGCUGACAGCGCCUGCCAGAGGACCCAAACUCUGUGUUUAGUGAUGUCUGAGUAAUAUAUAAUAUUUUAAAACUUUCAACAACGGAUCUCUUGGUUCUG
rnacentral:misc_RNA from 1 species